rnacentral:rRNA from 1 species
CAGUAGCCGCGGGAAUACGUAGGUGGCAAGCGUUGUCCGGAAUUAUUGGGCGUAAAGGGCUCGCAGGCGGUUUCUUAAGUCUGAUGUGAAAGCCCCCGGCUCAACCGGGGAGGGUCAUUGGAAACUGGGAAACUUGAGUGCAGAAGAGGAGAGUGGAAUUCCACGUGUAGCGGUGAAAUGCGUAGAGAUGUGGAGGAACACCAGUGGCGAAGGCGACUCUCUGGUCUGUAACUGACGCUGAGGAGCGAAAGCGUGGGGAGCGAACAGGAUUAGAUACCCUGUAGUCCCUGUCUCUUAUACC